rnacentral:rRNA from 1 species
AAAAACUUCCUCUUCCGCUCGCCGCCGCGGCUCCCCCUCCGCGCGCCGCCGGUACGACCGCCCCUGCGGCGCCCCACCUCCCCUCCCGCGUCGCGUUCAUCUCUCCUCACCCGCCUAGGUUACUCCUCGGUCGAGCGGCCCCGCCCCCACGUCGCUCCCUCAACUGCUUCCCUCUCCCAUCUGCUGGUUUCCCGGCAUGCUUUAGCGCCACUCACUGGCCGCCGCCGUCCUUGCGUCACGGGUGCAGAUUUGGUUGCAAUCUACUUAUGUUUCCUGAUAUUCGAUCUGGAUUUCCAACAGAUCAGAACUGCCUGAGAAGAAGCAGCAGAAAAAUAAAAGUGAAGUAUCAUCACCUGGUCGUAAGAGAGCCAUGAAAGAUAAAUUGACAGAACGGACUGACAAGAAGCUUACUCACAGAAUUCGUCAAAAAAGAACAAAAGUUUCAGAAGUCAAAACUUUACUGGAAAAACCUGAUCAUGAGAUAGCACACAUGAAGCUAAGUGUGAUGCAUCUCAGAUUGUUACAAGAGGCCAGAGAGCGUAUUAAGAGUAAAACAAUUCUGUCAGGACCAUCAUCCUCUAAUCAAAGCAACUCCCAGUUUGGAGAUACCAACAGUUUUGAUCCUUUUGAAGAGAACUAUGAAGAGAACUAUGACAAUGACAGAAGAGAGAACCACGUGCUAGAAAAUGCAACCAAACUGAAUUACCAUUCCUACAUGAACAAACAAACACGGGCCAAAUGGUCGAAAUCUGACACUGACUUAUUUUACCAGGGUCUUCAACAAUUUGGUAGUGAUUUUGCAAUGAUACAGCAACUAUUCCCAGAUAAGUCCCGUGAUCAGGUGCGGCAGAAGUUUAAAACUGAGGAGAAAAAACAUCCAAUGCAAGUCCACGAUGCUAUACUUCAUCGCUCAAGAGAUACUUUGUAUUUAAAACAAGUAAUCAAACAGCUCAACAUCGAAGAUCUGCAGAGGGGCAUGAGCAGUACACAUAAACAAGAGGUUGCAUCAAUUGAAGGAGACACUGGAAAUGAGCAUGUGUUGCAGGAUUUCAUCGAGGAGGUAGAGAAUGGUUCAAAUUGGUCAGAUAAAGAGCUGGGCACGCGCCAAUCUGAGGUCAGAGAGGGGGAGCAUGUUUCUGGGAAUGCUGAUGAUGACCUGGAUCUGGAUGUUUUUGAUUGGUACUAGGACGAUAAUCAUGAUGAAAAUCAGGCAAAAACGUUACGAGGUCUCGUUAUUCUGCCGAUGUACUAAGGACAUGUGUCCUGUCUCAGAUAUGUUUGCUCACGGGGUUACCGAGUUAUGGAUGCAAAUAUAAUAGUACAGUUGUUAGGCCGAAUACAAGCUUAUUUUGCUUUUGCCUUUACAAUGUACUGAACAGAGCGUCAGGGUAGCUGACUGAUUUGCAAAAUAGCCAGUCAUUGACAAUGCAGACUGAUUUGCAAGCUAUUUUUAUCAUGGAGAUGCUUUACUGAUUCAAAUAGGUCAUUUGAACUUGGCAUUGCUGCUGCAGUUGUUUGUUCUAGCAUAUAAAUUUGUAUUCUUAUAUUUAAUGGGCUGAUAUACUGCUUCAAUCACAUUUUCUACUGAUUUUUCACAUGUCCUGUUCUUUGUUGAUAUCUUUUCACAUCAGCUCCCAAUUUGGAGGUACCGACACUUUUGAUCCUUUUGGAGAGAACUAUGACAAUGACAGAAUAGAGAACCACGUGCUAGAAAACGCAACCAAACUGAAUUACUAUUCCUACAUGAACAAACAAACACGGGCCAAAUGGUCGAAAUCUGACACUGACUUGUUUUACCAGGGUCUUCAACAAUUUGGUAGCAAUUUUGCAAUGAUACAGCAACUAUUCCCUGAUAAGUCCCGUGAUCAGGUGCGGCAAAAGUUUAAAACUGAGGAGAAAAAACAUCCAAUGCAAGUCCACGAUGCUAUACUUCAUCGCUCAAGAGAUACUUUGUAUUUGAAACAAGUAAUCAAACAGCUCAACAUCGAAGAUCUGCAGAGGGGCAUGAACAGUGCACAGAAACAAGAGGUUGGAUCAAUUGAAGGAGACACUGGAAAUGAGGUUUCUUUUUUCCUUUCUGAAACUAACACACACAGUGUUUAAUACUGAAUCUAUUUCAUUGGCAUUCUUUCUCUAUUCUUCUGUAAGCAUGUUUUGCAGGAUUUCAUCGAGGAGGAAGAGAAUGGUUCAAAUUGGUCAGAUAAAGAGCUGGGCACACGCCAAUCUGAGGCUAGAGAAGGGGAGCAUGUUUCUGGGAAUGCUGAUGAUGACCUGGAUCUGGAUGUUUUUGACUGGUACUAGGAUGAUAAUCAUGAUGAAAAUCAGGCAAAAACGAUACGGGUCUC